rnacentral:rRNA from 1 species
UACGAAGGGGGCUAGCGUUGCUCGGAAUCACUGGGCGUAAAGCGCACGUAGGCGGAUUGCUAAGUCAGGGGUGAAAUCCUGGAGCUCAACUCCAGAACUGCCUUUGAUACUGGCGAUCUUGAGUCCGGGAGAGGUGAGUGGAACUGCGAGUGUAGAGGUGAAAUUCGUAGAUAUUCGCAAGAACACCAGUGGCGAAGGCGGCUCACUGGCCCGGUACUGACGCUGAGGUGCGAAAGCGUGAGGAGCAAACAGG